GCUGUCGUCAGCUCGUGUUGUGAAAUGUUGGGUUAAGUCCCGCAACGAGCGCAACCCUUAUCCUUUGUUGCCAGCGGUCCGGCCGGGAACUCAAAGGAGACUGCCAGUGAUAAACUGGAGGAAGGUGGGGAUGACGUCAAGUCAUCAUGGCCCUUACGACCAGGGCUACACACGUGCUACAAUGGCGCAUACAAAGAGAAGCGACCUCGCGAGAGCAAGCGGACCUCAUAAAGUGCGUCGUAGUCCGGAUUGGAGUCUGCAACUCGACUCCAUGAAGUCGGAAUCGCUAGUAAUCGUGGAUCAGAAUGCCACGGUGAAUACGUUCCCGGGCCUUGUACACACCGCCCGUCACACCAUGGGAGUGGGUUGCAAAAGAAGUAGGUAGCUUAACCUUCGGGAGGGCGCUUACCACUUUGUGAUUCAUGACUGGGGUGAAGUCGUAACAAGGUAACCGUAGGGGAACCUG
rnacentral:rRNA from 4 species